AACGAACGCUGGCGGCAUGCCUAACACAUGCAAGUCGAACGAGACCUCCGGGACUAGUGGCGCACGGGUUUGUAACGCGUGGGAACAUGCCCUCAGGGACGGCAUAACUCAGAGACAUUUGAGCUAAUACCGGACGAUGUCUUCUGACCAAAGAUUUAUUGCCCUUCUUUGGGCCCGCGUUGGAUUAGCUAGUUCGUUGGGUAAAGGCUUACCAAGGCGACGAUCCAUAGCUGGUUUGAGAGGAUGGUCAGCCACACUGGGACUGAGACGCGGCCCGGACUCCUACGCGAAGGGGGAGUGGGGGAUGUAGGACAGUGGGCGGAAGCCUGAUGCAGCACGGACGGGUGAAUUAUGUAGGUAUUAAGGAUGUAAAGCGCAUUUACCCGAGAUGAUAAUGACGGUAUCGGGAGAAAAAGCUCCGGCUAACUCCGUG
rnacentral:rRNA from 1 species